rnacentral:lncRNA from 1 species
UUACCCAGAUGUUUGGAAUGAAAAAAGAUAAAUCAAAAAAUCAACGAAAGAGGAAAGAUCUUAUGACUGACGCAAGGGAUUGGAUUCAGAAAAUCGGAUUUCAGUUUCUGAUUCUGUCACAAGCUUCCUGUGUGACCUUAGUUAUGCGAAUUCUGAACAACAUAAUUGUUCAUGCAUACAAUCUGAGAAACGAAAUGGGCCAGGAGAAAAAUACCAGACUAUAUUAUUUUGUAUUCUAUAGGAAAUGUAAAACAUAUAGGAUAAAAUGAACUUUAGCAAUAUGACAACGGAUACUGAACUGGGAUCAUGAAAACAGCUUUUGGAGGAUGGAAACUGGAUAUAGAAGUUCUACUGUUUCAUUAGAUAUUACACUGACAUCUACAACACGUUUUUUUCUUUUCAUUGGGCUUUAAUCUGGAGUUCCUGUUUGAAUGAAUAACUCAUUCCACAUCUGACCACACCCAUCAGUUUCAAGGUAUGUACUCAAAAGAGAAGAUAUACUCCUCUGCCUUAAAACUGCCUUUCUAACGGUAAAUACAAAAAUAUAAAAGUUCUACAUGAAUAUUAUUUUCUUGCCUCUCAGAAAUGUCAAUGUGUGUAGACGUUGUUUAUCUAUGUGUCCAAAGAAUGUUCUUGUUAAUACACAACUCCUGACAUUAAUACAUGGAGAUGUUUUAAUGAAUACUUUUUAAAAACAAAGGCUUAGAAAUACUGAAGGCUGAUUCUUUAAUUCAAACAAAUAAUAAUUACCUUAUCAGAAAAGUAUUUGAUUGGAGCCUUUUGCUAGGAGAUACUGUUUAGGAGGGUUUUGAACUGAUUCAUCCAGGAUAUAAUUGAGGCAAUCUGACGAGGCUAUAUUACCUGUAAAUUCCUGUUUUGCUGAAUUAUUUCUAUCACAGAAAAAAACAAAAAACAAAACAAAACAAAAAAACACCUAAAAGUGUACUUUCAGAGCAGCUAUCUUCUUAAUAUUCUAAAAAAUAUAUAUAAGUAAAAAAUCUAGAUUUUGAUCUUUCCAUUUGAGAUAACAUUUAGCCUUGAAAUUAUGAACCAGCAGAAUUUUAUUCAUACUAACAUGUACAUGUACAGUAUCUCCAAGUUUGGAGACUCCUUUGAAAGUCAAUUUCUUCAUUUGUAAGAUGGAUGUAAUUUUCCUAGACUUUUUGAAGGUUAAUUAUUUAUCAUUUGCAUAUUGCACUAAACAGUUAAACUUUAACAUGGAUACUAUUAAUGAUAUUACUGUGUAACAAUACCAAUACAUAAAGGUUUGUAUCAGGUUGUCUAAAGUUAUAACAUCUUCAUAUGAAAACUAUCACUGCAGAUUGCUUACUCUCUUGUAUUGACUAAUCCUAGUGGGAUUAUAUGAGGAUAAAACUAGCAUAAGUGGAAAAAUAUGAACUGGCCUACAUUUAUAAAUUGUUCUUUGAUGUUGUACCCUGAAUAAAAACACAAAUUUAGUCA